UACGAAGGGGGCUAGCGUUGCUCGGAAUCACUGGGCGUAAAGGGAGCGUAGGCGGGUUUCUAAGUCAGGUGUUUAAUCCCGGGGCCCAACCCCAGACAGGCACUUGAAACUGGGAAUCUUGAAUAGUGGAGAGGUCAGUGGAAUUGGGGGUGUAGCGGUGGAAUGCGUAGAGAUCCCCAAGAACACCAGUUGCGAAGGCGGCUGACUGGACACAUAUUGACGCUGAGGCUCGAAAGCAUGGGGAGCAAACAGG
rnacentral:rRNA from 1 species